rnacentral:rRNA from 1 species
AUUGAACGCUGGCGGCAGGCCUAACACAUGCAAGUCGAGCGAGCGGCGGACGGGUGAGAAAUGUAUGGGGAUCUGCCCGAUAGAGGGGGAGAACUACUGGAAACGGUAGCUAAUACCGCAUACCCUCGGAUGUGCCCAGAUGGGAUUAGCUUGUUGGGGGGGUAACGGCUCACCAAGGCGACGAUCCCUAGCUGGUCUGAGAGGAUGACCAGCCACACUGGAACUGAGACACGGUCCAGACUCCUACGGGAGGCAGCAGUGGGGAAUAUUGCACAAUGGGCGCAAGCCUGAUGCAGCCAUGCCGCGUGUAUGAAGAAGGCCUUCGGGUUGUAAAGUACUUUCAGCGGGGAGGCGUUACCCGCAGAAGAAGCACCGGCUAACUCCGUGCCAGCCGCCGCGGUAAUAC